AAAGCUCUUCUUAGAUCUCUAGACGCGUGGGAUGUGACCCAUGAUGGGUUUGAAGAACCAACAGAAGUUGGGGGAUAUACGGCAGCUCAAACGAAGGCGUUGAAAGAGACGCGAUCGAAGGACAAAACGGCAUUAUACAUGUUGUUCAGGGCUGUAGAUGAAUCAGGCUUCGAAAAAAUUGCUGGUUCGACUACGUCGAAACAAGCGUGGGACACGUUAGAAAAAGUGUUCAAAGGAGCAGAUCGAGUGAAGCAAGUUCGACUCCAAACUAUUCGUGGCGAAUUGGAGAGGAUACAGAUGAAGGAUACAGAAAUUGUAUCUGACUACAUCACACGUGUGCAAAAGGUGGUGAAUCAACUCACCAGAAAUGGAGAGACAGUACCUGAUGCACGAGUUGUUGAAAAGAUCUUGAGAUCUUUAACAGACAGGUUUGAAAAUAUUGUAUGUGCAAUAGAAGAGUCGAAGGAUCUUUCGACGCUCUCAGUCGAAGAGCUCGCUGGUUCUCUCGAAGCACAUGAACAACGAAAGAUGAAAAAGAAAGAAGAAGCAGUCGAAGAAGCAAACCAA